UGGUGGGUAGUUUGACUGGGGCGGUCUCCUCCCAAAGCGUAACGGAGGAGCACGAAGGUUAGCUAAUCCUGGUCGGACAUCAGGAGGUUAGUGCAAUGGCAUAAGCUAGCUUGACUGCGAGCGUGACGGCGCGAGCAGGUGCGAAAGCAGGUCAUAGUGAUCCGGUGGUUCUGAAUGGAAGGGCCAUCGCUCAACGGAUAAAAGGUACUCCGGGGAUAACAGGCUGAUACCGCCCAAGAGUUCAUAUCGACGGCGGUGUUUGGCACCUCGAUGUCGGCUCAUCACAUCCUGGGGCUGAAGUAGGUCCCAAGGGUAUGGCUGUUCGCCAUUUAAAGUGGUACGCGAGCUGGGUUUAGAACGUCGUGAGACAGUUCGGUCCCUAUCUGCCGUGGGCGCUGGAGAAUUGAGGGGGGCUGCUCCUAGUACGAGAGGACCGGAGUGGACGCAUCACUGGUGUUCGGGUUGUCAUGCCAAUGGCACUGCCCGGUAGCUAAAUGCGGAAGAGAUAAGUGCUGAAAGCAUCUAAGCACG
rnacentral:rRNA from 1 species